rnacentral:RNase_P_RNA from 1 species
GUAGGUAGGUACUUAACUAUCCUGUCAAUGGGAGGAAAGUCCGCACACUAUAAACGGUCGCUUACGUAAGUUAAGUUGGAGAAAUCCAAGGCAACCGCUCAGAAACGACACGUCCUUAUAUUGUUAUAAAGAUGUGGCAUGCGAAGUUUUCCGCGAGGGAAAUGAGUUAACCUGCUGAAUAGAUAUAGGGGAACGAUGAAACGGCGAGUCCCGAUUUGUGCAAGUCAGUGAGACGCUUAGUUGAAUGUUAAGGUGGUCUGUUCGAUUACGAAGACCAACAAGAUGCGGCUUAUUCCUACCUAC